rnacentral:rRNA from 1 species
UAGUCAAUGCUCGCAAGAGUGAACUAGCUAACUGAAAUCAUAGAAUUUCUUCAAAUUCGUGAUGUCGUAAGGGAAAAUAAUGAUAAUACCUUACUAUGAGUGUCGUCCAAAUCUGGUGCCAGAAGACUCGGUAAGACCAGAGACGCAAACGUUAAUCAUCAUAAUCAGGCGUAAAGGGUUUGUAGGCAGCUUAAAAAAAUUUAAGCUAGAAUCUAACAGAGGUUAUAGUGUAUAACGCCUAGAGGAGGGCUAAUAUCCAUAGAUCCUAGGCAGAAUACUAAAGGCGAAGGCCACUCUCCACUAAAGAUUGACGCUGAGAAACGAAGGUUAGGAUAGGAAAAAGGAUUAGAUACCCUGUUACCCCUUUCUGUAAACGAUGAAUGGUAGUUUUUAGUACAUAAUUAGAGACGAAGUUAACACAAUAACCAUUCCGCCUUGUGAGUACUACUGCAAAGUAGAAAACAAAAAAAUUAGUCGGUCUCGAAGCAAACGGAGUGAAGCAUGUUAUUUAAU